ensembl:snRNA U6 U6 spliceosomal RNA
CUUAUAAUUGAGAAUAAAGAGGACUUCGCUGUAUUAGAACAACACAUAGAAGAUUCACACGGCUCCCGUGCAAGGAGGACAUGCAAAUUCGUGAAGUGUUCCAUAUUUUU